GUUAAAUACUCCAUAUGAAUUGAGGCUCUUCAGUGCCCAUGUUAUUGUCUUACUUAAUUCCCCUGUAUUCACCUUGAUUUUAUUACGCUUCAAGGUAUGGCUGUUUUACAUAUAUUAACCCUAUUGACUCUAUUAUGGAUUUGUUUAAUUAGUUGAAACAGAUCAUAAUUUAAUAACACAUAUUCUAACAUAGAUUCUUUUUCUUCUGUAUUUUUAAGUCAGUUGAACUUGGAUUUCAAUAUCCACCCUGAGGGGGUUUUUCCUUGACUGGCUGUGCAUGAAGCUAGGAGUAAUCUAGAGAGACGAUCUUGUCCUAAUUCCCCUGAAGAAGCCAAGAGGCGAAACUAGUAGGGUCGACCUGAUCGAAAAAAUUAUUUCUAGAUCUUGCUC